GCAAGUAUGAUGUCAAUUGGUAACAUGGCGUCCUUCCAAGUCGCUCUUACGGGUUCGAAUCCCGUUACUUGCUCCA
rnacentral:tRNA from 1 species